GGAGGUAUAGCUCAGUGGUAGAGCACGUGUUUAGUUAGCAUGCACAAGGUCCAGGGUUCAAUCCCUAGGACCUCCA
rnacentral:tRNA from 1 species